rnacentral:rRNA from 1 species
AUUGAACGCUGGCGGUAUGCUUAACGCAUGCAAGUCGAACGAUGAGAAAGAGCUCGCUCUUUCGAUUAGUGGCGGACGGGUGCGUAACGCGUAGGGAUCUACCUAUUAGUGGGGGACAACUUAGGGAAACUUAAGCUAAUACCGCAUACGCCCUACGGGGGAAAGAAGGGGAUCGCAAGACCUUUUGCUAAUAGAUGAGCCUGCGUAGGAUUAGCUAGUUGGUGGGGUAAAAGCUCACCAAGGCGACGAUCCUUAACUGGUUUGAGAGAAUGAUCAGUCACACUGGAACUGAGACACGGUCCAGACUCCUACGGGAGGCAGCAGUGGGGAAUAUUGGACAAUGGGCGAAAGCCUGAUCCAGCAAUACCGCGUGUGUGAAGAAGGCCUUAGGGUUGUAAAGCACUUUCAAUUGGAAGGAAAACCUCGAAGCUAAUACCUUCGAGUUUGACAUUACCUUUAGAAGAAGCACCGGCUAACUCCGUGCCAGCAGCCGCAGUAAGAC